CACAAUAUCCCCAUGGAUGUAGCCAGAGUACAGUAGUUGGUGGCUAUGGUCAGGCAUGGGAUGUUUUUGACAUGGGCCGGGUAUCGUGGACUUCGGCCGUUGCCGCCUGGUACAGCGAAAUUUAUUACUUUGGUGGUUGCGAUGCACCGUACAAUAACAUUAACCUUACAUGGGACACCUACACGCAGGUGAUGUGGGCAGACACUGCGGCCAUCGGAUGCGGACAGGCAAUGUGUAACAACUACAUAAUCAGUCCCGGAUCUGCCGGUUAUACUCCCAAAGUGAAAUUGUUCGUUUGCAACUACUGUCCUGGCAAAAAUAGAAAAGUUUGCUUUGUCUGCACUUAGGGGCAAUGUGAGAAUUCCCGGUCAAGGUUACGCCCAGUACUGUCCGUGGAAAUCAGCUGACUCAGCGGCAAAGUGCUCCGAUUGACCAAAGGGGAAAAUGUGCGCACCCGGCGAUUGUCUGUGUGCAUAGGUAAUGCUGUGACUGCUGUCUCCCCAAAACACUUCCGGCAGCAAGGACCGAUCACCUCUUCUAUAAGUCCAUAUUUAAUAAUUUCGAUCUGCAUUUAUGCACAACUUUAUCGCACGUGUUUUCUACUCUACCAUAGUCUUUGCUAUUCUACCUGUAUAUUCAGCUUCUCACGA